rnacentral:rRNA from 1 species
AUUGAACGCUAGCGGGAUGCCUUACACAUGCAAGUCGAACGGAGUGGCGAUCGGGUGAGUAAUGUAUCGGAACGUGCCAAGUAGCGGGGGAUAACUACGCGAAAGCGUAGCUAAUACCGCAUACUAUUGGCGCGGCCGAUAUCGGAUUAGCUAGGUGGUGGGGUAACGGCUCACCAAGGCGACGAGCCGUAGCUGGUGUGAGAGGACGACCAGCCACACUGGGACUGAGACACGGCCCAGACUCCUACGUGAGGCAGCAGUGGGGAAUAUUGGACAAUGGGGGAAACCCUGAUCCAGCCAUCCCGCGUGUGCGAGGAAGGCCUUCGGGUUGUAAAGCACUUUCAGCAGGAUGGCGGUACCUGAAGAAUAAGCACCGGCUAACUCCGUGCCAGCAGCCGCGGUAAUAC